UGAGUGGCGACGGGUGAGUAACGCGUGGGCAACCUGGCCUGUACAGGGGGAUAACACUUAGAAAUAGGUGCUAAUACCGCAUAACGGGGGAAGCCGCAUGGCUUUCCCUGAAAACUCCGGUGGUACAGGAUGGGCCCGCGUCUGAUUAGCCAGUUGGCAGGGUAACGGCCUACCAAAGCGACGAUCAGUAGCCGGCCUGAGAGGGCGGACGGCCACACUGGGACUGAGACACGGCCCAGACUCCUACGGAAGGCAGCAG
rnacentral:rRNA from 1 species